GCAUGGGUUUGUAUUUAUGGCAGGCCCGUUCCUCUGGGUGUCUUACAGUAUCCUGUGCUGGAGCAGCCCGCGGCCCCGAACCAUUGCCUGCCUGUGUCUGUAGGCUGCUGGCAGCGAUGUAGGUCACACAAGA